AAUAAAGUUGGGUGAACUCUAGUCUUCCUGCUGUCGGUAACUGAAAAAAUAGCGCGUAAACUCAAAUUUUUUCCAUCUCUCCCCAAAGAGAGACAAUAAAUGAGUUUUUUUUUUGCUAUUUGGAAUAUAUUAUCAGCUUAUCGCGUCAAUGUCUCAAUAACAAUACAUAUUAACUAAAUUAUCUUAUCGUAGAGAGUAAAUAGAUUCUUUGAUACCCCCUUCACUUCUUAUUAAUUUACGCGGUUAUUAUUUUACUCUAUAUUUAGGAUGUCACAACGGAAAGGUGGUUGCUUCACCUCUCUGUUUCUUCAAAACACCGCAAAUAUGUGAUAAUCUUAAAACUAGUUUUCUUCACUGACUGCCAUCUUACACAUAAGUGUUACUAUUUACAUUAAAAUGCAAUAAUUCAAAAAUAUAAUUAGUAUAAAAUUAAGAAGUUGAUAUAGGGUCAGAGGUAACCGAUUAAGACGAUCAAUUUAAUUUCAUUUCUGUGAUAGUAUUGUAAGUAAAGUAAGUUUUAUACAACUACAACUGUGCAGUGAAUCUCAUGAGUUUCGUAAGCAAAUAAAUAAAUAAAUAAAUAAAUAAAUGAUAAUAAUAUAAUAGAGAUAAUAACUGAAGGCUUUUCAUUUGUCACUUUCUCUGUCACUGAUCAAGUAAUGGAGACUGUGUACUUGGAGUCUUCUUGGAAAAAUAGAAUGCAGUUUUUAAAACGCCGAGUUGUUUAUUUGUUUAGAGAAGUAACGAAUAGAUAUAGGAAAAAAAAAGGAUACACUAGAUUUCUCACCGACGAAGAAAAAAGGUGGUUAGCAAAUGCCGAAUACGAUAUAUCGACUAGAACCAGCAUACCAUACAGUUGUUGACGUAAUUGAAUUAAUAAAUCAUUGUUAUAUAGUUAUAAAUAAAAAUUAAAAUUUAAUAUAUUGUAUCAGGUGUAAUUUUUUUAUUUGUGUUCUCAAUUAGCAUUCAGUACAUCGAUGUUUGUUUUACAACUUUAAAACUUUAAAUAAUUAAAUUUAUCUUUUUCUCUGUUAACAGAAGGUACUCUCGUGUGGUGUUAGUCGGUGUA